rnacentral:rRNA from 1 species
GUGCCAGCCGCUGCGGUAAUACGGAGGGUGCAAGCGUUAAUCGGAAUUACUGGGCGUAAAGCGCACGCAGGCGGUCUGACAAGUCGGAUGUGAAAUCCCCGGGCUUAACCCGGGAACUGCAUUCGAAACUGUCAGGCUGGAGUCUUGUAGAGGGGGUAGAAUUCCAGGUGUAGCGGUGAAAUGCGUAGAGAUCUGGAGGAAUACCGGUGGCGAAGGCGGCCCCCUGGACAAAGACUGACGCUCAGGUGCGAAAGCGUGGGAGCAAACAGGAUUAGAUAACCCUGGUAGUCCACGCUAGUAAACGAUGUCGACUUGGAGUUGU